CUGAUGGCAGGAUAAGGGGGGAAGACAUCAUGUGUGACAGGGGUGGGCCAUCCUGAAGAGAGAACUGUGUGAGUCACCCUGGUCCUAUCUGAGAGGACACUCAGAAGGGUGCCAGCAGUGUGGUGAAUGCCAGAUGCCAGGGGCUGAGAGAAGAAUGGACAUAGAGGACUGUCCACAAGCCAGAUGCGUCCACCUGGGUCAUGGCCACUGCAGGAGGGAGAAGCCCACAGAGUCUGCUGCAGGUGUGGAUGGAUCCAGCAAAGGCAGAGUCACCCUCAAUGCUUGAGGAAUUCUGCAUAGGAAACAGGAACCAAGGCAGUUCAUGCGUAACCCACCCUGGCUUGCCCUGCACAUGAAUGGACAAACCACUUGGCAGGAUCAUCACGCUGUGUGCUGGGAUCUGGGCUGCAGACAGGAUGAGGGAGGUGUCACCGCUCAUUAAUGACUGGCCGUCCUGCUGUCCAGAAGCCGAGAUGCAGAGAACUAAGGUGCAUCAGUCUUUGGCCCCGGAAGAAAACACAGCAAAUAACUAUGGGAAACAAUGAGCUCCCACUUGAGCAACUGGCCUCCCCUCCCGCCAGCUUUUAUCAGGCUUCACCCUCAGGGAUGAGCAGAUACACGGGCAGAAGUUGUCCACCACCUGACUGAUGAAAACUGCAAAAUGUAGACCAACUUAUACACUCAUGUUGCCUUUUUGCAUUUUGACAAUUCCGUCUUCUCUUGUCAAUCCGCCUGAAGGAGACUGAAGUUGCUGUUAUUUUGUCCUUUUUUUUUUUUUUUUUUUUUUUUGAGGACUGGAAGGUAGACUUCCUCUUCAUUUACCUAGUUUUCACCUACGAAGAUGCAAAUCAAGAAGCUAUCAGGAGAGUACUUGGGGGUCACUUAACCCUGUUUUGAGGACUGACGUGUCUCAGGGAUCAUCCUACUAAGGAGAGCUAAAGGAAGUUGCUCUCUGUUGCAGAGAUCUGAAGGCAUUUCCCACUGAGAGAGCACUGAUAUUUUACCCACUUCAAUUAAUAAAAGAAGCUUCUGCUUCUGGUACUCCUUCCUAUGGAGGAGAAGUAAAUAGUAAAUGGUUAGCCUGCAGCCCACCCCCAUAAUGAGAUGGUGUGUGGUCAGUGCAGGGACGUUUCAGAAAGCAGGUGAUCCUUCCUCAUCUUAGGUCAUCCAGGUGUAGGAGCCUCACCUCUAGGAGGGCUCAAGUGUUCAUGAGCACACAUUGAGUUCUCGCGAUGGGUUCAUAGAGAGACCUCAGCAUGCUGGGGUGUCAUUCUCAGAUUGUCAGCUGCCUGGGGGACAACUGGGUGGCAGUUGCUCUGCAUCAUCUGCAAUGUGCUGUGGAGAAGAACUCUGCUUUGUCUGGUGCGCCAUGUUUGAUUUGCUUCCUAGCAGUGUCUGUCUGUCUGUUUUGUUUUGUUGUCCCCAUGAGUAUUGCUGAGAAUGGUGAUGAGUGAACAGAAAACAAUCAAGUCAUCUGGAUUCGAUAAACUCAAUGACAUGGAGAGCUUCUGGGAAGCUUCUCAGAAAGGGUUUUAUGUCUCAGAAAAUGAGCUUGAAAUGCAUUUUUUUCUCUCUUAAAUGAAAUCUUCAACUCUGCCUCUCUUUUUAUGACAAAAUCUUUGAGUUGAAAGAGAAGGUACCCUCCCAGCUUCAGAACAGGACAUUCCUGGGAUGAUUCCUUGCCCUAAUGCCUGGAAAGAAGUGGACAGAAGGUUGGGAUCAGUGGUGGGCUACUCUGGGUUCUGGGUGAAGCAUUCUUGUCCAGGGUAAUGAUCAGGGCUGAUAUUUGUGCCGAAGAAGGUGAGAUUAUGAGAUAACAUUGGGCUAGGGGACCCAGAAGUACCCUAAUUCUACCUCAGCCCAUCUCCCCUCCCUGGGAAGUCUCUGUUGGAGCCCUAUGCUCAGAGGACAAUCUCAGGGGUCAGAGUAUCACUAGCUGGAGCUCUGACCCCAUGCACUAAGCUCCAGCAUAUUCUUUGGAGCUGAGAAAGUUUGAAUCACAUGGUGACCCAACCUUGGCCCUGAAAGAUUAGGCCAGAGAAACCACUUCAUCCUGAGAAUGAGAUGUAGUUGGCCCUGGAUGUUUCUCCCAGGCCACCCUGAGGUCAAGGACGCUCACACAUGAAGGAGAAGACAAAGGCAGCUCAGAAAAUCCACAGAGAGGUGGUGUGGGAAUCCAGCCAAGCUACUAACAGGAAAAUCCUCCAGAAAGGAGCUCUAUAUCCUUCGUGUGACAUUUUGCUUCUUGACUUUAGGGCCAUGAUCUGGGUGGAAAUUUUCAUUUAUUUUACCUACCUCUCUGUGUGAACUGGGGAAGGGGGAAUGGGGAAAGAAAUGGGGAAGGAGAGAGCCUUGAGUCAAAAGUCCCUCUACAGGGGUGCCUGGGUUAAUCCUCUGCCUUCAACUCAGGUCACGAUCUCAGGGUCCUGGGAUGGAGCCCCACA